rnacentral:lncRNA from 1 species
GAAAAUGACAACACUGAAAUACUUCGUUUACAGGAUUUGGAAGUCGUAUAGACUACAAAUCUCUCUGCUGUGCAACACACAUAACAAGUCCCCAAAAUAUCCUUUGUUUGCUGAGGUUUUGCUCAGAUAUUUAAGGUUCUGACAGUUUAAAUAUGGUGAACAAUAUGGUGAACCAUCCAAAUAUUUUGCAUCAUUGGUAUUUGGAAAGAUCUUUAAGAACAAUUAGUUCUAGUUCAGAGAGGCAAGUGCAGCACCCAGGCUCCCGGUUUUCCGUGGGGGCGGAUCAACAUGGCCUCCUCAGCUAGCUGCAUUUCACAGGGAGUCUCAGGCCCCCCUAGCAUGGGUUUCCUAGGCCUGGCCACUUGGCUCACAUUGUAACAGAGAAGAAAACUGGGCAGAUCCGCUGACUCCUCAGCUAGGCGCGGGGUUCACCAGGUCUCACUGGAGGCUGAGAAAAAUACAGAGCUUCCCGGAAGCAGGAACAACACUGGGAGGCCUGACCUUGCUCAAGGCCCUUUGACCUGACUCACCAGACCGGAAUGGGAACCUAAAGGAAAGUGGAGACUUCCCAUUCUGUGGAAAUCUUUAAGAACUGGAGAAAAGUUCCAAUUACUUACAGCUUCAAGGGACAGAAUGAUGGAUGGCUUUGUUUGCAAACAUGCUAUUUGUCUGAGGCUCUUUGUCCAGUCAGCUGGUUGACAAAUACUGAUCACGCCCAGUGUGCACAGGGACCUCAGUUAAGAAUACCAGGGCUAGAGCAAAGAACGAACAUAGUUCCUGUCUCUAUCAGACAAAAUUAACAGCCGACAGAGACGCGCAGAGAGCCACUCUGAGAGAAGCCACUGGGUGCAAGGGUUGUC